CUUCAUGUCACUUUUGCAGACUACACAGCCACAGCAGGAGAUGUAUUAGGACAUUGAAAUGUAAAAACCUUACUAGAUUAUUUUAUACGCAACACCAUUGUCUCCCGAGACAAAAAAGGAUGCCAACAACAAUAUAUAUGA